CUUGACAGUGUUGAAGGUCCUCAGUGUGGUAUUAAUAUGGUAGUAACAGUAUAGUACUUGACAGUGUUGAAGGUCCUCAGUGUGGUAUUAAUAUGGUAGUAACAGUAUAGUACUUGACAGUGUUGAAGGUCCUCAGUGUGGUAUUAAUAUGGUAGUAACAGUAUAGUACUUGACAGUGUUGAAGGUCCUCAGUGUGGUAUUAAUAUGGUAGUAACAGUUUAGUACUUGACAGUGUUGAAGGUCCUCAGUGUGGUAUUAAUAUGGUAGUAACAGUAUAGUACUUGACAGUGUUGAAGGUCCUCAGUGUGGUAUUAAUAUGGUAGUAACAGUAUAGUACUUGACAGUGUUGAAGGUCCUCAGUGUGGUAUUAAUAUGGUAGUAACAGUUUAGUACUUGACAGUGUUGAAGGUCCUCAGUGUGGUAUUAAUAUGGUA